GACGAACGCUGGCGGCGUGCUUAACACAUGCAAGUCGAGCGAUGAAGUUCCUUCGGGAAUGGAUUAGCGGCGGACGGGUGAGCAACACGUGGGUAACCUGCCUCAUAGAGGGGAAUAGCCUUCCGAAAGGAAGAUUAAUACCGCAUAAGAUUGUAGUACCGCAUGGUAUAGCAAUUAAAGGAGUAAUUCGCUAUGAGAUGGACCCGCGUCGCAUUAGCUAGUUGGUGAGGUAACGGCUCACCAAGGCGACGAUCCGUAGACGACCUGAGAGGGUGAUUGGCCACAUUGGGACUGAGACACGGCCCAGACUCCUACGGGAGGCAGCAGUGGGGAAUAUUGCACAAUGGGGGAAACCCUGAUGCAGCAACGCCGCGUGAGUGAUGACGGUCUUCGGAUUGUAAAGCUCUGUCUUCAGGGACGAUAAUGACGGUACCUGAGGAGGAAGCCACGGCUAACUACGUGCCAGCCGCCGCCGUAA
rnacentral:rRNA from 1 species